rnacentral:rRNA from 1 species
GAGUUUGAUCCUGGYUCAKAACGAACGCUGGCGGCGUGCUUAACACAUGCAAGUCGAACGUGAUCCGGAGCUUGCUCCGGUGAAAGUGGCGCACGGGUGAGUAACGCGUGGAUAAUCUGCCUUGGUAUCUGGGAUAACAUCUCGAAAGGGGUGCUAAUACCGGAUAAGCCCACGGGAUCCUCGGAUUCUGCGGGAAAAGGUGGCCUCUAUUUAUAAGCUACCGUAUCAGGAUGAGUCCGCGUACCAUUAGCUAGUUGGUGGGGUAAUGGCCUACCAAGGCGACGAUGGUUAGCUGGUCUGARAGGAUGAUCAGCCACACUGGAACUGARACACGGUCCAGACUCCUACGGGAGGCAGCAGUGGGGAAUUUUGCGCAAUGGGGGAAACCCUGACGCAGCAACGCCGCGUGGGUGAUGAAGGCUUUCGGGUCGUAAAGCUCUGUCAGAGGGGAAGAAAUGGGUCGUGCUAAUAUCGCGACUUCUUGACGGUACCCUCAAAGGAAGCACCGGCUAACUCCGUGCCAGCAGCCGCGGWAAUAC